rnacentral:rRNA from 1 species
AGGUGCGAUCAUACCAGCACUAAUGCACCGGAUCCCAUCAGACCUCCGCAGUUAAGCGUCCUUGGGCGAGAGAGAAAUUUGUAGUAAAGUGAUCGAUCCUCAUAAAUUACUGACAUUGCAGAGC